GCAAAGUGUAAAGUGCAGCUUUAAUCUUAUAUUAGAAUAAUUUUAUAUUUAUUAAACAAUUAAAAAAUUUCAAUAAUUUAAUUAUUAUUUAAUUUCCUUAUUUGUAAAUAAACGAAUUAAAUUAAAUUUACAAGACUACAAAAUGUACUAUAUAAAAAUAAUUUCGUUGUUUUGUUUUAUAUUUUAUGUCUGGAGUCAGGAGCAGAGAAAAUUAAUAUUUCCAACAAGAAACGAUGCUCAAAUUUUAUGUUAUCCACGGAAUAUGACUGUUAAGAAAAUACAGGCACUGGGAGGAACUUAUUGGAAAUGUUGGUUUCCUGGAAUCUACGAAGAAGAAAAUUUAAACUCAAAACUAUAAAUAAAAACAAAUCUCAGACAAUAAAUUAUGAUUAUUCUGUUUAAUUCCAGGCAUUCUAAUUCUAACUCAUUACAUCAAUUAUAUGAAAGGCAUUUCCAGUUAAAAGGAAGAUGAAGAAGGAUGAAAAUUACCAAAAAUGGAAAGUGUCAGAGACAGAUAUAUAUCAAAAUAAAAAAAAAAAUAAAAAAAAAACAGUGAUACAUCUAAAAAUUUAGACUGAAAGUGCAAUAGGCAUAACUAAAGAAAUUAAAGAGAGGGAGAAAACGUCACUUUAUAAUUCGGUGUACAUUACAACUUAGGGCAGACUUUUAAUUGGUUUAAUUAAACCUAGUUAAAUCCUAAAUUUUUAUAGGUACGGGGCAUAAAUCGCUCUACUAUAGGUGGACUUACUAAUAUAUCUGUCCGUGUAUAAAAUGGAAGCACACAUCACAGCAUUGGAACGCUUAACCUCAUCAUCGCCACAAGAUAAACAUCUUACAACCAAACUCUGGAAACAUCCUGAAUCAACUGGCUUAACUUUCCUAUGAUUUCUAGAUAAGUGUGAGCGUGUUUGCAUUAAUAGGUGUCUAACGCACACGAUGAAGAGAAACUGCUUUGUGGCUUUGUAUGUUCACCGAAACAAUAGACACCGAGAGGUCACGAGGGGUAUGUUUAUGACACCCGUUAGAUAAACAGGCUUUGAUAUACUCCCGAAAUAAUCUCCCAUUAAUCUACAUAUAAGUAUAUAUAAUAUGAUCUGGUCAGCUAGAUCGCAAUGUCUUUUCGUUGAUCGACUAAAUUUUAUAAAUAUAAAAUUUAAAAAAAUGAAUAAAGCUUUUAUAAAUUAUAACAUUAAAAAUUGUAUAUAAAAUUUAAGAAGGUAUCUCUGUUACAAAUUCGGUUAGUCAGUUAAUCUAUAAUAAAUGCAUUGACUUAACUAUA